CGCUCUGUAAUGCAAUGGGUAGCAAGUUGGACUCCUAAUCCAAAGGUCGUGGGUUCGAAUUCCACCUGGGAUGA